AUUGAACGCUGGCGGCAGGCCUAACACAUGCAAGUCGAGCGGAUGAAGGGAGCUUGCUCCUGGAUUCAGCGGCGGACGGGUGAGUAAUGCCUAGGAAUCUGCCUGGUAGUGGGGGAUAACGUCCGGAAACGGGCGCUAAUACCGCAUACGUCCUGAGUGAGAAAGUGGGGGAUCUUCGGACCUCACGCUAUCAGAUGAGCCUAGGUCGGAUUAGCUAGUUGGUGGGGUAAAGGCCUACCAAGGCGACGAUCCGUAACUGGUCUGAGAGGAUGAUCAGUCACACUGGAACUGAGACACGGUCCAGACUCCUACGGGAGGCAGCAGUGGGGAAUAUUGGACAAUGGGCGAAAGCCUGAUCCAGCCAUGCCGCGGGGGUGAAGAAGGUCUUCGGAUGGUAAAGCACUUUAAGUUGGGAGGAAGGGCAGUAAGUUAAUACCUUGCUGUUUUGACGUUACCAACAGAAUAAGCACCGGCUAACUUCGU
rnacentral:rRNA from 1 species